rnacentral:SRP_RNA from 1 species
UAUUGGUCCUCUCGCAACGAUAGGUUGUGAACUCCGCCAGGCCCGGAAGGGAGCAACGGUAGCAAUUGACUCGUGUGCCGGGAUGUGGCUGAUAGGA